ACAAUUACAAAAUAUCAUUUAAUAUUUUUAUAGUUUGAACGUAAUAUUCAACGAUUUAAAGAAAUAAUAUGGAUAAUAUAAUAUUUUAAUAACAUAAUGGAUAUGGAAAAUUAUUUACGCAAAGUUACAGCAAAAGUAAAAUUCAAACAUCAUUCUGAUAAAAUAUUUAAGACUUAUUGCUGUCAUAUGACGUGAAAAUUAUCGAUUCAUCUUACGAAGAAACCAACGAAGAAAUAUUAAUUCUAUCAAAAAUGCAUUUUACCCAGAUUUUUUCUUGGGAUAAAUUCGAUUAUCGAAUAUUAUCGUCGAAAGAAAUAAACGAACAAGGAUAGAGGAGAAGCGAGGAAGAAAGAGAUAGACCAGGUCAUAACGCGAUGCAAGUGGGUUUUGAUCUGUGUUGGCGACGUCUUGAAGGUUGACCGGAAAUUCGGAAGAGGUGGUCGGUUCUGGAGAAUUAGCACUGACCUAGGGAAGGCCUCGAGGUCGUCGAUGGCACACAUUCCGAGUGUGCCUAUAUUAAGUUAACUGCUUCAUAGCUGCCGAUUGGACGGCCGGUUUGCCAUUGCCAGCAUAUAGGUAUAUACGGCAGGGCAUAGGCAAUGCCAAUUGCACGCAUCCGCAAAUUUGCCACCAACUGGCACGCUUAUGUUAUAAAGUUACUGUGGCUCUACCUAAGUGGUUCCUCUCUCUAAGACAUUGUAUGGGUAAAGAUCGUACAGGAGUUCCUUUGUAAAAGAAUGAAGGAAGAAAGUGGAAGAGAAAAGUGAAAACUUGGUAUUGGGCUUUUACAUAGUUUCUCUUCUAACAGGACUCGUUUUAAGUAGAAAAACUGGUGAAAUUAAUCUUCUUUAAAGAAUAGAGGAUUAUGGGUAAAGUAUAAAUUUGAAAUCUGAAAUGAGAGAUUGUAACGAGUAGAUUGUUUUUUUUUUUUUUUUUUUUAAUGAUAGAAAGGCAAAAAAAAUGCGAGAAUUGAUACUUGUAGUAAUUUUGUCGUGUACUGGCUCAUUGUCAUGCGUUCAUUGUACGUAGCUUUAAUGGGAUUGUAAGUAUUAUAAUCAAUCCUGUUAAAACUGAUGAUUGCUGCUCGAAACACGCGUUUGAAUUAAGGAGUUUUUAAAACCAUUUUUUCAUAAUUAUCUUCUGAGCUGACGAGAUAUU